GGGGGAUAGCCAAACAUGGAUAAUUGAGAAACCAUACUUCCCCCCCGAGAUAAAGGUGGAGGAGUGUCCACAUGUUGCUCUCUGACAAAGUGAAGAGUGUGCAAUUUCCCUGCAAAUUUGACUCAUCACGACACUACUUGAUGACUCAGUGGUUUAAUAACAUGAAAGAAUGAAGGGAACAUGACCAGCAGUUAACUGGCCAAAGAAGCUGACAGCUGCAUAACACCAGAAGAAGACACGAGGACAAUGUUAGACAGCAGUGAAAGAAGCUGAGAGAAGAGUUGUUCCCUUCCUUUGUGCCAUGAUGAGAGAAAAGGUGGAUGAUUGUGCACAGACUCUUUGCACCUACUUUUCUACACUGUCAAGCUUACAUGCACUGUAAUAACAAAAACAAUAAAAAGAAUUGGGAAAGAAA